GCCCGAUGCGAGGCUCGAACUCAGGAUCCAUGAGACCAUGGCCUGAGUGGAAAUCCAGAGCUGGCUGCUUGACUGACCGAGCCACCCAGGCGCCCCCACCUGAAGAUGUUUUGAUAAAGGGACUGAUCGCAGAGUUGCGGGUAGGACCGAGUGCUGGAGGCUGGAGUUCAGAGACCAGCAGUCUGGCCAGGUUCUGGAGGGAACCUGCUUUCGAGUUGCAGAUGGCUGACUUCUCACCGUGUCCUCACGUGGCGGAAAGAGAGAGCGCUGCUCUCUUCAUCCUCUUGUAGGAGAAGCAAUUCCACCGUGGGAGCUCCACCCUCUUGACCUCAUCCAAACCUAACUACCUCCCCAAAGCCCCGCCUCCAAAUACCAUCACAUUGGGGAUGAGGGAUUUUCCGAGGACACCGACAUUCAGUGUGUGACAGCCUCCCUGGACAGAGAGCUGAGCAGCCAAUGCAUCUGACUAGCUGUGUUCAUUUUCUGCACCUGUGUAACAAAUUACCAUGUACUGGGGGGCUUAAAGCAGCAGAAAUUUGUUCUCUCACAAUCCUGUGGCCAGAAGUUCAGAAUACAGCCUCCGGGGAAGAAUCCUUCCUUGCCUCUUCUGGAUUCCUGUGGCUCCAGGUAUCUCUUGGCCCAUACCUGUGUCACUCCAAUCUCUCCCUCCAUCUUUCCAUCCUCUCUGUGUGCCUCCUACAUGUGCCUCUUAUGAGGACACUCAUCGUUGGAUUUGGGCCCCACCUGGAUAAUCCAGGGCGAUCUUACCUCAAGAUCCUUAAUCACAUCCACGAAGACCCUGUUCCCCCAAAUAUAACACUCGCGGGUUUCAGGGAUUUGAUGGACACGUCUUUUCGGAGGCUUCCGUUCAACCCACUACCCCAGCCUUCCACAUCUGACUUUUGUUGCCGAGCUGUGAGAAGCAACUGAACCUCUCUCCUGAAGGCCACCCUUAGCCCCAUGACUUGUGUUCGCCGCUUGUCUGCUCUAACUAGAUAAUGAUCCUUAGGUUGGGACAGGAAAGGGAGGGUCCUCAUUUCACAAAGUGCUUACACAUUAUGGUCUUUGUCAAAUCACGUAUCCCCUGUGAGCCCCUGUCCUACAUCUCUUAAAAUGAAGCGGUGAGAUUAGGCGAUGUCUAAAAUGGUCUCUACCUCUAGGAUCCCGUGUGCCGUAACUAAUGUCGGGGCGAGUUGGAUGUCUCCCUGGUAACCUUGUGCCCACCACUCCUGGUCCGUGACCUGCUUGCUGGCACUGGGGUCACGCUCAGAGCCACAAACAUCUUCGACCUUUCCAGGCCACCGGGGGUUUUCAUCUGUAGCCCUCUGUCAAUCACAAAGAAAUGGCCCAGGGACGACGGCCUGCGUCUCUCACACAGGAGCCAAGGGCCACAGGUGCCCUCCCUGGUAGCCUGACGCGGCUUUUAAGCUCACGCAUGUUGGUUUAGCUCAGGUUUCCAGCCAAGCGAUUCUUGAAUCUCUUCGUGCAGCCAAGUGUGAUGGUGACACCACGACACCUUUUCUAAUUGUGUUUUAAUUGACAAGACUUGAUUUGAUUAUAGAAGCCUACACUGCAGUUGAAGGGCUUGUUAAAACAUGUAUUAAAUCCAAAAGAUUGCAACGUUUCGCUGUGUAAUUAUGUAAACAGUCACGUAAAUGGAGCAGUUUACUGUCAGCAGGAAUGCGUUUUCAAUAGCUCGGUAGCAAACUGGCGUCACUGAUCAGGGGCAGGUGAAUUUAUUUUCUUAAGGAUAAACGCAAGGUGGUAUCCCUCCCGGCCUCAGCCAAGCAAGCUUUUUAAAUUUUCUCCUUUUGUGUACAUUUCCCCCCUGAAAUCUGUUGUGAUGGUAAGCAGUGUUUCUGUGUCCUCAGGGGCACGCGAGUUCCCCAUAAUGGGUAAGGAAAAUAAAAUGUGCCAUGUCUCUGAAAUGUUGAGAUUUCUCAGCGACAAAAAUGAUCCAGGCAUUAAAAAAAAAAAAAAAAAAAAAAAAAAAAAAUCCCCAACUCAGGUUUUAAAA